CCUGAACGCUGGCGGCGUGGCUAAGACAUGCAAGUCGUACGGUGUAGCAAUACACAGUGGCGAACGGGUGAGUAAUGAAUCGCUAAUGUGCCCCGGACUCUGGGAUAGCCGACCGAAAGGACGGGUAAUACCGGAUGAGACCACGAACAGGCAUCUGUUUGUGCUCAAAGGUCCGCCGGUCUGGGAGCAGGCGAUUUCGUAUCAGCUAGUUGGUAGGGUAACGGCCACCAAGGCGACGACGCGUAGCCGGACUGAGAGGUUGACCGGCCACAUCGGGACUGAGACACUGCCC
rnacentral:rRNA from 1 species